rnacentral:rRNA from 1 species
AGUCUGCAACUCGACUCCGUGAAGCUGGAUUCGCUAGUAAUCGCGCAUCAGCCAUGGCGCGGUGAAUACGUUCCCGGGCCUUGUACACACCGCCCGUCAAGCCAUGGGAGCCGGGGGUACCUGAAGUCCGUAACCGCGAGGAUCGGCCUAGGGUAAAACUGGUGACUGGGGCUAAGUCGUAACAAGGUAUC